rnacentral:lncRNA from 1 species
GGUCCGCGGUUGAAUUUUUCUGAAGAGAACUUCUAUAAUUAUUUAUUCCAAAUAUUUUUGUACUUCCAUUAGUCUAAAUUCGAAUAAUAAAUAGUAAUUCUUAUUCCAAAUAAGAAUCUAGUAUUAUGAACUAAAUAAUUUGGUAUACCUUCGAAAGAGAUCGAAAUAUAUAUUGUUGUUUAUGGCUUUCUUCAAUUGUAUUUUAGAAGUUUAUAAAUGUUAUGUAAAAUUGAGAAUAAAAUUAUUUUAGACUGUCUAACUGAAUUUAAAUGUUGUAAACAAUUGGCUUAUAAAAUAAAAUAAAAUAUAUAUUUUUCAGAACAUAGUAUAGAAUUUAUAAAAUAACUAACACCAAUAUUAAUAGUUAUCACCAGUCGCGGGUUGGGCUGAUUCAAAAUAUGACACAAUUAUUUAAGAUAAUAUAUUCUAUAAAAUUCACAAUGGUGGAGGUCUUUUCAAAUAUGGUCUCAUUAAAGUUUUAUAAUAAUAAAUAAUAUGUAAAAUUUGUAUAAUUAAAAAAAUCAUUGUAAUUUUCACAAAUAAGUCAAUCUCUAAUUAUUCUUAAAAAAUCGAAACAUUUUUAUAUUGUUUUAUAAUUUUACAUAUAAAACACAUUUACAUAAUAUGAUACAUAAUCUUAAAGACAUCAAAUAAUCUUUAAAAAACAUGAUGAAAGGGAAAGUUUAGAUUAUUUAGUAUAUAAUCCAUGACAAUAAUGAUUUUUAUUUGAAUAUAAACAGAAUGUUUUGGUAAACUAAUACUAUACCAUAUUUACACCAUUAUUAACUGCAGAAUUUUUAUUCUAAAAUAACUAAAAAGACAUGAUUUGGUGUUUUUACGUCUUAUAGGAAACAAUAUAUUAUGGACAUUGACAAGGUUAUUGAUGAUGAGAAAUGUUUGUCUUAUUGAUUUUGAAGAUGAGUUGAGCAAUAAUGCAAAAUAUAUUACUGACACUGUUGUCGUGUUGUAUCUUGGCAAAUGGUAGUUUAGGCUACUAUUUGUUUAAAUGAUUUUCACGUAAAACGUAUCUUUUUGGUAACCAAUAUAUAAUAUAAUGGCCGUCUCGGUGCAAGUUCUAAUUAGAUACAUAAUUUGAAAAUCUUAUGUCAUAUUAUAUUCUAUAUUAAAAUAUUCCAUACAAUAUUUUGACUAUUAUAUAUAUAUAUAUAUAUAUUUGUUAAGGAAAUCUAUGUUUUUCCUAAUAUAUAUAUAUAUUCUUAAGUAAAUCUAUAUUUUUCAUAGAACUAAGAAUAUAUUUUUAUUUAUUUAUGAAUCUAUAAAAUAUUUUUUUGAGAAAAUAAGAACUGUGAUACAAACUAUUACUUAUAAUAUUAUUUCACUUCUGUAAAUGUAUGCAUGAAUUUCAUUAUAUCUAUAUAUUACCUAUUAAGAAUUGAAGAAUAUUUUUUUUAACUAUAUGAAAUUAGUAAAUAAAAUUGUAGUUGCUAAUUACUUUUGGCCACAUAUUUAAAUUUUCAAAAUUAGACACACACACAUAUAUAUAUAUGUAUAUAUAUGUCAUUAAUUGGUAAUUUUAUGUGGUGAUAUAUCCUAUCAGAACUAAAAUGAAAAUUUGGAACAACUAUUUAACAUAAAUGUUUUGGAAUAUAACGAAAAUAAAAAUAAUAAAAAAUUAUAAUUUCUAGUUUUUCGGAUCAUCUUAGUAAAACGUUUUUUGUGGCAUAUAUACCUGUCCAUAUUUAAGGUUAUUGAAGAUAAAUUAGUAAAUGCUAAUUUGGUAGCUAAUCUAUUGCUAGUUGAUUUUAUCCACAUAUUUAAUCAUUCAACGUUGCGUAUAUAUGGUUGUUGCUAUAUGGUAUUUUAAGGUGAUGACAUAUCGUAACAAAAAUUAAGAUAAAUGUUUGGAAUAAAAUUUUAAAAAAAAACUAACCAAUCAUUUUAAAACUGUUUUUCCGGAUAAUCCUAAAAAUAGUUUUCAGAGACUUAUAUAUAUGUAUAUGUUCACAUUUAAGGUUUUCUACAAUAAACACAUAAAAUAUUUAUUUACAGUGAAGAGUUAUAAUGUCAGCAUCUAAAUUUGCUAUAUUUUGUAUUGUUCUGGUGUUUCUUGCUAGUUGUCAUGAAUGUAUGUCAUAUAUUUCUUACAUUUCGUCUAAUCCCCUUUUAUUAUUAUCAUUAAAAUAAUAAUAAUAUCCUCUAUCAUCUUUUUAAUUUUUUUAAGUUUUAAAUUUUAUACAGGUGCCGACCUCAACAGAGGGCCCAAACCAACAUGCUCUAAAACACCAAAGAAUGUUUGGUGUUGCAGCAACAAUUCACACUGUCGGGAAACCAAAGCGCUAUGUGAGAAGAUUUGUUGGGUCCGCGGUUGAAUUUUUCUGAAGAGAACUUCUAUAAUUAUUUAUUCCAAAUAUUUUUGUACUUCCAUUAGUCUAAAUUCGAAUAAUAAAUAGUAAUUCUUAUUCCAAAUAAGAAUCUAGUAUUAUGAACUAAAUAAUUUGGUAUACCUUCGAAAGAGAUCGAAAUAUAUAUUUUUGUUUAUGGCUUUCUUCAAUUAUAUUUUAGAAGUUUAUAAAUGUUAUGUAAAAUUGAGAAUAAAACUAUUUUAGACUGUUUAACUGAAUUUAAAUGUUGUAAACAAUUGGCUUAUAAAAUAAAAUAAAAUAUAUAUUUUUCAGAACAUAGUAUAUAAUUUAUAAAAUAACUAACACCAAUAUUAAUAGUUAUCACCAGUCGCGGGUUGGGCUGAUUCAAAAUAUGACACAAUUAUUUAAGAUAAUAUAUUCUAUAAAAUUCACAAUGGUGGAGGUCUUUUCAAAUAUGGUCUCAUUAAAGUUUUAUAAUAAUAAAUAAUAUGUAAAAUUUGUAUAAUUAAAAAAAUCAUUGUAAUUUUCACAAAUAAGUCAAUCUCUAAUUAUUCUUAAAAAAUUGAAACAUUUUUAUAUUGUUUUAUAAUUUUACAUAUAAAACACAUUUACAUAAUAUGAUACAUAAUCUUAAAGACAUCAAAUAAUCUUUAAAAAACAUGAUGAAAGGGAAAGUUUAGAUUAUUUAGUAUAUAAUCCAUGACAAUAAUGAUUUUUAUUUGAAUAUAAACAGAAUGUUUUGGUAAACUAAUACUAUACCAUAUUUACACCAUUAUUAACUGCAGAAUUUUUAUUCUAAAAUAACUAAAAAGACAUGAUUUGGUGUUUUUACGUCUUAUAGGAAACAAUAUAUUAUGGACAUUGACAAGGUUAUUGAUGAUGAGAAAUGUUUGUCUUAUUGAUUUUGAAGAUGAGUUGAGCAAUAAUGCAAAAUAUAUUACUGACACUGUUGUCGUGUUGUAUCUUGGCAAAUGGUAGUUUAGGCUACUAUUUGUUUAAAUGAUUUUCACGUAAAACGUAUCUUUUUGGUAACCAAUAUAUAAUAUAAUGGCCGUCUCGGUGCAAGUUCUAAUUAGAUACAUAAUUUGAAAAUCUUAUGUCAUAUUAUAUUCUAUAUUAAAAUAUUCCAUACAAUAUUUUGACUAUUAUAUAUAUAUAUAUAUAUAUUUGUUAAGGAAAUCUAUGUUUUUCCUAUAAUAUAUAUAUAUUCUUAAGUAAAUCUAUAUUUUUCAUAGAACUAAGAAUAUAUUUUUAUUUAUUUAUGAAUCUAUAAAAUAUUUUUUUGAGAAAAUAAGAACUGUGAUACAAACUAUUACUUAUAAUAUUAUUUCACUUCUGUAAAUGUAUGCAUGAAUUUCAUUAUAUCUAUAUAUUACCUAUUAAGAAUUGAAGAAUAUUUUUUUUAACUAUAUGAAAUUAGUAAAUAAAAUUGUAGUUGCUAAUUACUUUUGGCCACAUAUUUAAAUUUUCAAAAUUAGACACACACACAUAUAUAUAUAUGUAUAUAUAUGUCAUUAAUUGGUAAUUUUAUGUGGUGAUAUAUCCUAUCAGAACUAAAAUGAAAAUUUGGAACAACUAUUUAACAUAAAUGUUUUGGAAUAUAACGAAAAUAAAAAUAAUAAAAAAUUAUAAUUUCUAGUUUUUCGGAUCAUCUUAGUAAAACGUUUUUUGUGGCAUAUAUACCUGUCCAUAUUUAAGGUUAUUGAAGAUAAAUUAGUAAAUGCUAAUUUGGUAGCUAAUCUAUUGCUAGUUGAUUUUAUCCACAUAUUUAAUCAUUCAACGUUGCGUAUAUAUGGUUGUUGCUAUAUGGUAUUUUAAGGUGAUGACAUAUCGUAACAAAAAUUAAGAUAAAUGUUUGGAAUAAAAUUUUAAAAAAAAACUAACCAAUCAUUUUAAAACUGUUUUUCCGGAUAAUCCUAAAAAUAGUUUUCAAAGAGUUAUAUAUAUGUAUAUGUUCACAUUUAAGGUUUUCUACAAUAAACACACAAAAUAUUUAUUUACAGUGAAGAGUUAUAAUGUCAGCAUCUAAAUUUGCUAUAUUUUGUAUUGUUCUGGUGUUUCUUGCUAGUUGUCAUGAAUGUAUGUCAUAUAUUUCUUACAUUUCGUCUAAUCCCCUUUUAUCAUUAUCAUUAAAAUAAUAAUAAUAUCAUCUAUCAUCUUUUUAAUUUUUGUAAGUUUUAAAUUUUAUACAGGUGCCGACCUCAACAGAGGGCCCAAACCAACAUGCUCUAAAACACCAAAGAAUGUUUGGUGUUGCAGCAACAAUUCACACUGUCGGGAAACCAAAGCGCUAUGUGAGAAGAUUUGUUGGGUCCGCGGUUGAAUUUUUCUGAAGAGAACUUCUAUAAUUAUUUAUUCCAAAUAUUUUUGUACUUCCAUUAGUCUAAAUUCGAAUAAUAAAUAGUAAUUCUUAUUCCAAAUAAGAAUCUAGUAUUAUGAACUAAAUAAUUUGGUAUACCUUCGAAAGAGAUCGAAAUAUAUAUUGUUGUUUAUGGCUUUCUUCAAUUGUAUUUUAGAAGUUUAUAAAUGUUAUGUAAAAUUGAGAAUAAAAUUAUUUUAGACUGUCU